ensembl:lncRNA novel transcript
GUUUCCUAGUGGCCCCAGUGGAAUUCAUUCCAAGCGAGUGGGAGUUAUAAGGACGCGAAAGGACCAAGGCCACUAUUUGGGGAGUCUGACGAAGGAGUUGUAGCACUCCUGGAGGAAAGAAGGAAGUCAAGGCUUAGCAGCCGAGGUGGACCAGCUGGUGUUUUCACAAUCUGCAGAGACAUACAGGGAAGGACGAUGGGGGGACGACAUGGUGGAAAAUAUUCAAUGUCAUACCACGGAUGUACAGAAGAAGAAAGAAAUCCUAUUUGGAACUGAAGUCAGCCAGUUGGAAUUUUCAGAAGGAAAUCCUGGCAGCCCGCGGUGUUUGAGGCAUUACAUAAACAUCUGAUACUUGACUCAGUGAGAAGCGCCUUUCACCUUCUGCCUUCCACCAUGAUUGUGAGGCCUCCCCAGCCACGUGGAACUGAAAUUGUGAGCUCAACCUGGAAGACAGAGGAAGACAUGUUCUUACCUUUCUGCUGGAUGAGAAUACCAAGGGCCUGAACAGAAUGGCUGAAACCUAGCCUGGACUAUUCUUUGGAAGCCCCAUACCUGGUGGACUCAGUAUUCAAUGCUCUAUGCUCUGAGAAAUAGACAAUAUCAUACUGAAGUGUUCUGAUGUUUUUUUGGGGGAACCCAAUGAUUAGAUCUUAAAUUUGAAGGGAUGUAUUCCACUGCCAACCAGCUUGGGGUGAGAAGGACAGAUUGGAGUGGGAGACCACAGACUUUACUUGUGCCUCAGAGAACUAUGUCCUGGAUGUUGAGUGGAGGAGCUACCUUCCUGGGUAUUGCUGCUGUUGGGAGAGAGGCUGACUCUUACAACCUGGUGGCAUUCCAGGACCUUGGGAAUGAGAGUUCUACUCUUCAGGGGCCAAGUCUGUGCAUCUGAGAACAGCUACAGCUAGUCUAUAGAGGGAAGUUGUCAGCAUUGUCAUUCUCUUGUUAAUUCCAAGCCUUUCUCGAAGUCCAUCAAGCAUUAUAGUCUGGCCUGGCUUCCACUGUGGGGAAGAAUGGUGAAGAAGCAUGGCCACACCUGCGGUGAUUCAGGGAACAGCAGCAACUUAAGAGAAACAGUGGAGAGGCAGCUGCCACCUUCUUGACUGUAUCACUUGAAUUCCUGAUAGUAGACUGUAUUUUCCAAAGAUAGAGCAAUCUCUCCCCUCCCGCAGCCUCUUCCAACAUGUGACCUUGACAACCCUUUCAUUUAAUGAUGUGUUCCCUGUCUCCUAGCCUGGAGCCUAGGAAGAGCUUUGCAAUUGCCUCUGUCAGAGGCGUCUGAACCAGAGCAACUCCAUCUUGAAUAGGAGCUGGGUAAAAUGAGGCUGAGACCUACUGGGCUGCAUUCCCAGACAGGUGAGGCUGGAACUAGGCUCACCACGUGGACAGGCGUGAUCUGUGUACAUAUGAGCCAACACAUUUAGACGACUGGAUGCCUCCUCCACGUCUUCUUCUCUUGCCUGCCAACUGGGAGAAAACCGAAGAAGACUCCAGGAUCCUGGGAGAUACAGGUGGAGGCCACAGAUGGAAAAAAAACCAAGUCCUGGAUUCACUGUAUGGAAAAAAUAUGUGCAUUAACCAGGAACAUCUACAGUAGAUAAUUAGAGGAGAGGGUGAUGAUCCACGGAGACUUGGGGGGUUUAUUUGUUAGAGCAGCUAACGUUACCCUAACUAUUACAGAGUCAGAGGAAAUAAUGUAUAUAGAAUGAUAAGUCCAGUGUCUGGGAGAUAGCCAUGCUCAGUAAAUGUUUUUGUUUGUCCCUUUGAAUGAAUGGAGGGUAUCUACCUAUCUUCCACCUAUUCAGGAUCUCACAUGAGGCAGCACAUUUAGCACACUUGUGUAGUUGUAAUCUUCCAUGCUUAUCUUUGUGAGUCUGUUUGAAAAGUUGGAUAAAUAGCAAUGACUGACCACAUUUGCUUGUAUAAAGCACACGUCUCCUUUCAAAUUUCAUGUUAGUAUUGAUAUUUGUGCUGUAUAUUUAGCAUCAUUGAAAAAGGAGAACGAAUUUAUGAAAAAGACAUAAAUGUUCCCAUAGAAACACUCAUAUCCAGCCUGGGCAACAUAGUGAGACCCCGAGGUGAUUAUAUUGCUUGAGCUCAGGAGUUCAAGACCAGCCUGGGCAACACAGCAAGACCCUGUCUGUCUCUACAAAAAAUACAAACAUUAGCCAAGCAUGGUGGCCGGCAUGCCUCUAGUCUCAGCUACUCAGGUGACUGAGCUGGGAGGAUCCCUUGAGCCCAGGAGAUGGAGGCUGCAGUGAGCUAUGAUGGAGCUACUGUACUCUAGUCUGGGCAACA